GAUGAACGCUGGCGGCGGGCCUAACACAUGCAAGUCGAACGAGUGGCGGACGGGUGAGUAAUGUCGGGGAAACUGCCCGAUGGAGGGGGAUAACUACUGGAAAGGGUAGCUAACACCGCAAACUAUCGUAUGUCCCCAGAUGGGAUUAGCUUGUAGGUGGGGUAACGGCUCACCUAGGCGACGAUCCCUAGCUGGUCUGAGAGGAUGACCAGCCACACUGGAACGGAGACACGGUCCAGACUCCUACGGGAGGCAGCAGUGGGGAAUAUUGCACAAUGGGCGCAAGCCUGAUGCAGCCAUGCCGCGUGUAUGAAGAAGGCCUUCGGGUUGUAAAGUACUUUCAGCGGGGAGGCGUUACUCGCAGAAGAAGCACCGGCUAACUCCGUGCCAGCCGCCGCGGUAAUAC
rnacentral:rRNA from 1 species